rnacentral:rRNA from 1 species
UUCGGGUGAUGGUGGCGGACGGGUGAGUAACGCGUAAAGAACUUGCCCUGCAGUCUGGGACAACAUUUGGAAACGAAUGCUAAUACCGGAUAUUAUGUGAGUUUCGCAUGAAAUUCAUAUGAAAGCUAUAUGCGCUGCAGGAGAGCUUUGCGUCCUAUUAGCUAGUUGGUGAGGUAACGGCUCACCAAGGCGAUGAUAGGUAGCCGGCCUGAGAGGGUGAACGGCCACAAGGGGACUGAGACACGGCCCUUACUCCUACGGGAGGCAGCAGUGGGGAAUAUUGGACAAUGGACCAAAAGUCUGAUCCAGCAAUUCUGUGUGCACGAUGAAGUUUUUCGGAAUGUAAAGUGCUUUCAGUUGGGACGAAGUAAGUGACGGUACCAACAGAAGAAGCGACGGCUAAAUACGUGCCAGCAGCCGCGGUAAUACGUAUGUCGCAAGCGUUAUCCGGAUUUAUUGGGCGUAAAGCGCGUCUAGGCGGUUUGGUAAGUCUGAUGUGAAAAUGCGGGGCUCAACUCCGUAUUGCGUUGGAAACUGCCAAACUAGAGUACUGGAGAGGUGGGCGGAACUACAAGUGUAGAGGUGAAAUUCGUAGAUAUUUGUAGGAAUGCCGAUGGGGAAGCCAGCCCACUGGACAGAUACUGACGCUAAAGCGCGAAAGCGUGGGUAGCAAACAGGAUUAGAUACCCUGGUAGUCCACGCCGUAAACGAUGAUUACUAGGUGUGGGGGGACUGACCCCUUCCGUGCCGCAGUUAACACAAUAAGUAAUCCACCUGGGGAGUACGGCCGCAAGGUUGAAACU